AUUGAACGCUGGCGGCAGGCCUAACACAUGCAAGUCGAACGGUAACAGGAAGAAGCUUGCUUCUUUGCUGACGAGUGGCGGACGGGUGAGUAAUGUCUGGGAAACUGCCUGAUGGAGGGGGUUAACAACUGGAAACGUUACCUAAUACCACAUAUCUUCCCAAAACCAAAGAGGGGGCCUUUCGGUCCCCUUGCCGUCGGAUGUGCCCGGAUGGGGUUGGCUAGUAGGUGGGGGACCGGCCCACCUAGGCGACAAUCCCUAGCUGGUCUAAGGGCCUGGCCAGCCAGACUGGAACUGAGACUGGGUCCACACACCUACAGGGGGCAGCGAUGGGGAAUACUGCACAAGGCGGGAAAGCCUGAUGCAGCCAUGCCGCGUGUAGGAAGAAGGCCUUCGGGUUGGAAAGUACUGUCGGCGGGGGGGUAGUAAGUAAAGUUAAUCCCUGUGGUCAUUGACGUUACCCGCAGAAGAAGCACCGGCUAACUCCGUG
rnacentral:rRNA from 1 species